rnacentral:rRNA from 1 species
GGGAGGCAGCAGUGGGGAAUUUUGGACAAUGGGCGAAAGCCUGAUCCAGCAAUGCCGCGUGUGUGAAGAAGGCCUUCGGGUUGUAAAGCACUUUUGUCCGGAAAGAAAUGGCUCUGGUUAAUACCUGGGGUCGAUGACGGUACCGGAAGAAUAAGGACCGGCUAACUACGUGCCAGCAGCCGCGGUAAUACGUAGGGUCCAAGCGUUAAUCGGAAUUACUGGGCGUAAAGCGUGCGCAGGCGGUUGUGCAAGACCGAUGUGAAAUCCCCGAGCUUAACUUGGGAAUUGCAUUGGUGACUGCACGGCUAGAGUGUGUCAGAGGGGGGUAGAAUUCCACGUGUAGCAGUGAAAUGCGUAGAGAUGUGGAGGAAUACCGAUGGCGAAGGCAGCCCCCUGGGAUAACACUGACGCUCAUGCACGAAAGCGUGGGGAGCAAACAGGAUUAGAUACCCUGGUAGUCCACGCCCUAAACGAUGUCAACUAGUUGUUGGGGAUUCAUUUCCUUAGUAACGUAGCUAACGCG